rnacentral:rRNA from 1 species
UACAGAGACCUCAAACGUUAUCCGGAUUCAUUGGGCGUAAAGGGUCCGCAGGUGGUUCAUAAAGUGAGUGGUUAAAUUCUGACGCUUAACGUCAGAACCGCCGUUCAUACUCAUGGACUUGAGACUGGGAGAGGCACAUGGAAUUCUCGGUGUAGUCGUAAUAAGCGCUGAUAUCGAGAAGAACACCAAAGGCGAAGGCAAUGUGCUGGAACAGUUCUGACACUCAGGGACGAAAGCGUGGGGAGCGAAUAGG